rnacentral:rRNA from 1 species
GAUGAACGCUGGCGGCGUGCCUAAUACAUGCAAGUCGAGCGAACAGAUAAGGAGCUUGCUCCUUUGACGUUAGCGGCGGACGGGUGAGUAACACGUGGGUAACCUACCUAUAAGACUGGAAUAACUCCGGGAAACCGGGGCUAAUGCCGGAUAACAUUUAGAACCGCAUGGUUCUAAAGUGAAAGAUGGUUUUGCUAUCACUUAUAGAUGGACCCGCGCCGUAUUAGCUAGUUGGUAAGGUAACGGCUUACCAAGGCAACGAUACGUAGCCGACCUGAGAGGGUGAUCGGCCACACUGGAACUGAGACACGGUCCAGACUCCUGCGGGAGGCAGCAGUAGGGAAUCGUACGCAGUGGGCGAAAGCCUGACGGAGCAACGCCGCGUGAGUGAUGAAGGUCUUCGGAUCGUAAAACUCUGUUAUUAGGGAAGAACAAAUGUGUAAGUAACUGUGCACGUCUUGACGGUACCUAAUCAGAAAGCCACGGCUAACUACGUG